UCCGUCUAGGAUGAAUUUUAUUUCCGUCUAGGAGAGUCUCUCACUUUAUAUUCAUCAGAACCCUAAAAUCCGUAUCCUCCAAAUCAAAAAUUCUUCUUCUUCUUCUUCUUCGUUCGUGCCGUCCUCGACGCCGUCUGCAGCCGAUCGUUUACACCUCGUCGUCCUCUCCCACUCCCGCCGCCUCCUCAGUCCUCAUUCGACCCUCGUUUACACAUCGUCGUCGUCUUCCUCUCACACUCCCGCCGCCUCCUCAGUCCUCUCCCACCACGUCAAGCUCUUCCUCUUCCUACUCCCGCCGUUUGCCACCUCCGCUCAUGGAGCCCUUGCCGGCGAUUGCCCUAAUUGAGUGAGGGGAUGGCUGACUCAGGCUGAGGGGUACUGUGUCUGUGCAAUUUGCUUGGAGAGGAUCUUGAUUCACGAGGCUGCCGGUGUGAAAGCUUGCGAGCACGCUUACUGGUUUGUUUUACGACUUCAUUUAUUUUGCAUUAUUUUGCGAGCAUGCUUACUCGAUUGUGCUAUACAUAGUGAUAUAUGGGAUGAUUUAAUGUUUCCAGAAUAGGCUAAAUUGUUGUUAAAUCCAGGUCCCAUGCUAUAUAUUGCCGAUUUGUCAUAAAAUGGAGCUGCUUUAUCUAUUUGUUCAUUAAUUA